rfam:Rhodococcus sp. CTA-806 NODE_11_length_284547_cov_5.23433_ID_21, whole genome shotgun sequence.
CCGGUUCCGGUUCACGUCCUCGAACGGCGAGGACGACCCGGCGACC